rnacentral:piRNA from 1 species
UGCUAAGUUGUUGGGAUUUCUCCCAUGAUG